ACUCAAAUGAAUUGACGGGGGCCCGCACAAGCGGUGGAGCAUGUGGUUUAAUUCGUUACUAACCGAAGAACCUUACCCAGGUUUGACAUCCUCUGCUGACCUGGUGAGAGCCGGGGUCCGAGGGGGGAACCCCAAGGCAGAGAGACAGGUGUUGCAUGGCUGUCGUCAGCUCGUGUCGUGAGAUGUUGGGUUCAGUCCCGCAACGAGCGCAACCCUCAUCCGCUGUUGCCAGCGAGUCAAGUCGGGCACUCUGCGGAAACUGCAGUAGCAAUACUGAGGAAGGUGGGGAUGAUGUCAAGUCGGCAUGGCCCUUACGCCUGGGGCGACACACAUGCUACAAUGGGGGCACACAGAGGGACGCGAGGUCGCGAGGCGGAGCGAAUCCCAGAAAGGCCCUCUCAGUUCGGAUUGGGGUCUGCAACUCGACCCCAUGAAGUCGGAAUCGCUAGUAACCGCCGAUCAGCCAAGCGGCGGUGAAUACGUUCCCGGGCCUUGUACACACCGCCCGU
rnacentral:rRNA from 1 species